rnacentral:rRNA from 1 species
GAUGAACGCUAGCGGCAGGCUUAAUACAUGCAAGUCGAGGGGCAGCAUGGUGUAGCAAUACACUGAUGGCGACCGGCAAACGGGUGCGGAACACGUACGCAACCCACCCAAAACUGAUGAAUAGCCCUCCGAAAGGAGGAUUAAUACAUCGUAACUUAAUGAAGUGGCAUCACUUUAUUAAUAUAGCUCCGGCGGUUUUGGAUGGGCGUGCGACUGAUUAGGUAGUUGGCGGGGUAACGGCCCACCAAGCCUACGAUCAGUAACUGGUGUGAGAGCACGACCAGUCACACGGGCACUGGGUCACGGGCCCGACUCCUACGGGAGGCAGCAGUAAGGAAUAUUGGUCAAUGGACGCAAGUCUGAACCAGCCAUGCCGCGUGAAGGAUGAAGGUCCUCUGGAUUGUAAACUUCUUUUAUAUGGGACGAAACCUCUUAUUCUUAAGAGACUGACGGUACCAUAGGAAUAAGCACCGGCUAACUCCGUGCCAGCCGCCGCCGUAAAAC